GCCUGGGUGGCUCAGUCGGUUGAGCGUCCGACUUCGGCUCAGGUCACGAUCUCGCGGUCCGUGAGUUCAAGCCCCACGUCAGGCU
rnacentral:tRNA from 1 species